rnacentral:snoRNA from 1 species
CUGCAGCCAAUUAAGCCGACCCUGGUGCCCAGUGUGCAGUGGCUGCAGACAGCAGCCUCCUGGGUAGUGUAUGCAGCCUGUUGCUUGUAUAGGCUGCCCUAAGGGACCCUGGAGACAGCC